AUGAACGCUGGCGGCGUGCCUAAUCCAUGCACGUCGCGCGAACAGACGAGGAGCUUGCUCCUCUGACGUUAGCGGCGGACGGGUGAGUAACACGUGGAUAACCUACCUAUAAGACUGGGAUAACUUCGGGAAACCGGAGCUAAUACCGGAUAAUAUAUUGAACCGCAUGGUUCAAUAGUGAAAGACGGUUUUGCUGUCACUUAUAGAUGGAUCCGCGCCGCAUUAGCUAGUUGGUAAGGUAACGGCUUACCAAGGCAACGAUGCGUAGCCGACCUGAGAGGGUGAUCGGCCACACUGGAACUGAGACACGGUCCAGACUCCUACGGGAGGCAGCAGUAGGGAAUCUUCCGCAAUGGGCGAAAGCCUGACGGAGCAACGCCGCGUGAGUGAUGAAGGUCUUCGGAUCGUAAAACUCUGUUAUUAGGGAAGAACAAAUGUGUAAGUAACUAUGCACGUCUUGACGGUACCUAAUCAGAAAGCCACGGCUAACUACGUG
rnacentral:rRNA from 1 species